rnacentral:lncRNA from 1 species
GGCAAUGAUCAGUCAGUGGUUCCUUCUGAUCUCACCACAGGCUUCAGAGUUCUAGGCAGCGUCCUGGCCUUUGCCCACUCAAGAAAAUUCAUCUUCCCUGCUUCCGGUCUCUGAAGGGAAAAGGGAAAGGACACGAGGACUCAGCAGCCAUCCUCUUCAGCUCUUCCUGCCCGGAGCACAAUCUUGUUAACCAUCCACCUGUAGGCAUCGAAUGUGAAAAAGGGAAGACAGGAGACAAAUCUCUGACAGCUGCACCCUCUGCAUCCAGAGCCCGGUAAAGCCACCUCACUGCCACCAGGCCCCAGAGAGGCAAAGGAAAGAAAGAAGCUACAGAGGGCAGACGGGAGCUAGGCCGGCUACCUGCCAAAUCACCUCCCAGUCUGGAAUUCAAACCUGAAUAGACUCUCAAGACAAAGAGAGAGGCGCCAUUUGUGGGGAGAAAGGGAAGAGUGAUGCUGGAGAAG